ensembl:snRNA U1 U1 spliceosomal RNA
AUACUUACCUGGCAGGGGUGAUACCAUGAUCAUGAAGGUGGUUUCCUCAGGGCAAGGCUCAUCUAUUGUACUCCAGAUAUGCUGGCCCCUGUGAUUUCUCCAAAUGUGGGAAACUGGACUGCAUAAUUUGUUGUAGUGGAGGGGACUGCAUUGGUGUUUUCCUGUG